rnacentral:rRNA from 1 species
UGGGGAAUUUUGGACAAUGGGCGAAAGCCUGAUCCAGCAAUGCCGCGUGUGUGAAGAAGGCCUUCGGGUUGUAAAGCACUUUUGUCCGGAAAGAAAUCCUUGGCUCUAAUACAGUCGGGGGAUGACGGUACCGGAAGAAUAAGCACCGGCUAACUACGUGCCAGCAGCCGCGUAAUACGUAGGGUGCAAGCGUUAAUCGGAAUUACUGGGCGUAAAGCGUGCGCAGGCGGUUUGCUAAAGACCGAUGUGAAAUCCCCGGGCUCAACCUGGGAACUGCAUUGGUGACUGGCAGGCUAGAGUAUGGCAGAGGGGGGUAGAAUUCCACGUGUAGCAGUGAAAUGCGUAGAGAUGUGAGGAAUACCGAUGGCGAAGGCAGCCCCCUGGGCCAAUACUGACGCUCAUGCACGAAAGCGUGGGGAGCAAACAGGAUUAGAUACCCUGGUAGUCCACGCCCUAAACGAUGUCAACUAGUUGUUGGGGAUUCAUUUCCUUAGUAACGUAGCUAACGCGUGAAGUUGACCGCCUGGGGAGUACGGUCGCAAGAUUAAAACUUAAAUGAAUUGACGGGGUCAUAGCUGUUUCCU